UGGGUUGGCUGCUCUUGUGAAUUCUUGUAGAGAUUGCAUUUCUUUCGCAUUCAUUGUCUAUGUCUUAUGUUUUUACUGCUUUUCGUAGGCACUUCUAGUUUAUUCGUGUUCACUGUUGUUGUUUAUCGGGACGAUUUUAUUCCUUCAAACGGGAUUAAACGCCAGAAUCAGUCAGAAUUCGAAGCGGAGGUCGCGAGGAAUGACGUAAAGCGAUUUUCCGGAUUGAACGUAUGAACUGAGUCGUUUUUCUUUUUUCUUAAUGUCACGGGAGGAUGUUCGACUUUACGAAAGCGAUGAACUUUGGAUUGAAGUCUUGUUCGAAAUUAUUUUAUGGCAAAUGGAAUAUAGUCGAUGUUAACGACUACGUAUAGCACUGACAUCGACCUGCUUUUAUAAAUUGUCUGGAAAUAAUGGAUUUCCUUGAGAAGAUUCUAUACUUGGUGCCAAGUGCUAUGUUGGAAUCGUUUGGGAAUUUUGAAACGGAGCUUUUCAUUGUUUCGAUUAAAAUAUGGCGGCUAAAGAUUAAAUUGUAUGAAAUACAGGUGAUUUGAGUUUUGUGAUUUUUGACAUAACUGUGCGAUUGGAUUUAAAAAUCUCAUAGCGGAGAACAAACGAGACUUGAUUUAUUCGUAUAAAUAUUUUAAGAACAGGUGAGAUCGAAUUUUCUGUAUAAUUUUAUUUAGUUUGUAAACGUUCAAGUGUCAUUUCCCUUAGUGAAAAAUCAUUAAAUUCUCUGAAUACUAAUGAUUCAUAUUUCUUUCUUUCUUUACUGGGGAUUUCUCACAGUCAUAGCUCUGCAUUGCAUUUAUUAUAAUACUUUUUAAUUCAAUGAAAAUUAAUGCCUUCACAUAUAUAGUAUCAAUGAAACUUUCAUCAUUAGUGCUUCAUACUCCAUUUCCCUACACAAGUCUCCACAUCAAACGUUGAUAACCUAUAAAGGGAUAGAGUUUCCACUCUAUAUACGUUAUAGGAAUAUAAUAUCACUUUCAUCGAUUUCCUUCAGAUUAAUAAAAUAUCAAGAGCCCGCACAUAACUCGCUUGCUUUUUGUUUCGCAAACUUUUAAUUGCUUCUACUAGCCUAGUCUUCUUCUCGUUUUAUAGAGGUUAAUGUAUUCCAAAUGGAAGAUUAGGAACUCCAUCAUGAUUCGUAGUUUUACAACCUGGAGAUAAAGGGACAAUCAUUUUGACAAAAUUUUUUUCACUACUCGUGAUAAACUACUCGGCCAUUUUCGGAGAUACGUUGUCUCAUUCGUUUGCAUGAAAUGUAUUCAAGUAUUUCAAUUUCUCUGAAUGGCUUAGCGGAAUGCUGGAAGAGAUGAGUGAGUGAGUGACUGUUCUUUACACGUAAAAUUUUUCCAAUUUCUCCGAAAAUUCUAAAGGCUCGUAUAUAUCUUUUAUGUUUUAUUGAAAUAUAUAGAAAUUGUCGCCGCUUGCCAGGAAUCCUUUCCUUGGUAAUCGUAAUAUAUGUUUACACGUUUCGCUACCAGAAUGGAUAUACAGGUGCAUAUAUCUAUACAUUAUCUUCAUAUGUAUGUACAUACAUGCAUAAACAAAAAGGGAAAUAAGUUGUCCAAUAUAGUAUAUCAAAGUAGGCAAACAUGUUUUGGUAAAAAAUAUUACAAAAAAGCAGUCGAAGUAUUUAGAAAAUUUAAUUGAUGUAAUUGCAAAUCUAAUUCCAAAUCUCGAUUCGGUACGCGAACCAAAUUAAAUUGGUAUUCUUGCCAUUUUCUACAAGGAAACUAAUUUUACGCUCGAGAAUUAUUGACGAGGUAAUUGAAAAAAAUUUAAUGUUGCUCAUUGGCCUUCUUACGUCAUUUUAUGAAUUUUCAAUAAAGUUAUCAAUGGGUGUGGUGGAUUUUGACUGUCCAUUAGACAUUGUGUAACGUGAUACACUCUGAAGGUUAAUUGAGCUUUGAUUCUUACGUCUAUUUAUAAGAUCGAUGUAAUGGAAGUGUAUCUUCUCUUUUAUUAUGAAUGAUUCAUUUUCGUGGUUGCCUCUUGUUACGAAAUUGAAAUAAAAUCUUUUUUUUUCAUUUCAUCAGAAACUGUAUACCGUAAGUCAAUUUGCAAGUCAGAAUUUGAAUAUAGUAAAUGAAUUUUUCUAGCGUUCCUUCAGAUCACUGAGGGACUUGAUACGAUUAUGGAAAGUUUAUAUUUUCAGAAAAGAAAAACGUGCACAAACUUCCCUUUGGGGAAUAAUUAGCCGUAAAUCUUUGAAUAUAUGCUUUAAAUGUGUAAUAACAUCACGUAACUUCAUUAUCCCCUUUUGCUAAUUAAGCUUGAGCUUCGUGGCUAUUUACAAGCUUGGCAUGACGAGUAGUCGUAUUUUUAAGUGAAACAUUUCCACGUUAUUUCUCUUUUUAAAAUCAACAGUGCAACAUAACCUUUUGAUCGUUUUUCUCGAUGUAAAAGUUAUAUACAAUUACACUAGCAAUAAUUCAUAUAUGAAGUAUAUGAAAUAAUUGUUUUCUUUUUAAAUAAUUUUAUAGAUUAAGUAAAUGCAAAAUCAUAAACUCAUUUGACAAGUCAAACCGCUUUAAUCUGAUGAUAUUAACAGUUGGGUGUGCUAUUUACACAGUUGACGCAACGAGGUACGUGAAAACUUGACAAGGACUGAAUUCUCAUAGGAGGUGUUCACAAUAAAGGAAAAGUUUGCAAAGCAAUUUCUAUUGUUCCAAGCAGAGUGUUAAUUGGAUGAAACGUCGAAGGGAUCGAUGAGAAAACUAAAAGCAUCUCCUGUUUCUUCGGUGUUAUUGCAAUUAUGGGAAUGAGAGUGCAAAAAAUUUGACAAGCUCAGCCGUGAUGAUUUUAUAAAAAGAUUCUGUCUUACCCCAAGGAAUUUGAAUGUUUCGACAAAUUUUUUUUUUUUUUUUUUUAAAUAUUCUCCUUAAGGACACAUGUAUUUUGAUUAGACGCGAUGGUCCACGAAUUUUCCUGCCCUUUGAGAUUCUCUGGAAAUGAAAAAAAAAACCAACCCUGACCUGCAGCCGCAGGAGGGUGGCCGCGUAUCAGAAGGGCGCGCCGUGCGAAAACUGUCCCGUUUGGCAAGACGAUAGAGCAAGGAGCGAACGAUAGUGGGGCACCAACCGACGUCCCGACGCCGACGCUAAAGCCGGAGUCGACGUCGGGGAUGUUACUCAAGGCGCAGACGCCGCUCGAUAAAACCCCCUGGCCCCGUGAUCUGCCCCUUCUGUUCCCAAAACCGUGAAUCCCAUCUACUAGAGUCACCGGCUCGCCAACCGGGAUAUGCGAUCUGCAUUGAAAUGCUAAUAAAAGCCUGAAUGGAUACCACGUAUUGAGUAUUUACACGGCACACACAUUUUCUACUGAUCCAUAUGAACCAAACACCAUUCAAAGCAAAUGAAAAAAACCCACAUGAUAAAUCAGAUAGUAAUCAGAUAGUCUUUUAAAUUACAUACUUAAUUAUCAAACGCGCAUAUAACAAUUGGAUUUCAAGAAUAAAAGUUUUGAAUUUCCAUUUUCAACCGAAAUUCCGUCCACAGGAUAGAAUAACAUGAAUAGUAUAGUCGAAGUGAAAAGAGAAUAACGAGGACGGCCAAUACUCUAUUCGGUACUUGCUCUAACCCAGGACAAUGGCGAGUUUUUCACAGACAAUGGAACCUCGUUGACGUUUCGAUGGUAUCGCUUUAAAUUCUCAUUUAACGAUCGAGCUGUCUCUCAUUGCGGUUUCCUGAAGGCUUUGGCUUCGAGACCUCAUGCAUUUCAAAGACUGUGGACGGUAGCUAAACCGUCCCUCGAACCGUACCACUUGUCUGCUACUUAGUCAACCCCGAAGCAAGCCACUUGAGAAGCUCCGGGCGUGUUUUCCACCCUGGAGAGACUCUUGAUAUGUGAGAGAAUGGAUACUGCCUAGGGGUAUGGCUUACAGUUAUCAUUCAAACCCGAAGGCGCUGACACAAAAUAAACUUCAAGGCAAACUGGCUGAUGUACCGACUGUUCUAUCCUGGAGAUUCUUCGUCGCCCAUCGAAUGACUCAUCCUGGCAGAAGAUUGCGGCCUUUUGCAGCGGGUAUGUAAAAAUUGCCACCGGUG